AUGAAAAAAUUAUGUAUGGAUCACAGGAUUGUGGUUCUUAGUCUAGAUGGAAGAAAGGGUGAUUUGCUACUAGUCUGGAAGAAGGAGGUGAGGAUCUACUCCCGGGCUGCUACCCUGGAUUUCAUCGAUGUCUCUGUGGAAGAGGAUAAUGGAGACAUGUGGAGGUUAACUGGAAUAUACGGUGAACCAAGUUGGGAUAACAAAAACCGUACGUAUCAAUUACUACGGGAUCUUCAUGCCCAAUCCAGGUUGCCGUGGAUAGUAAUUGGCGACUUUAACGAGAUUCUAUUCUCAUCAGAGAAAGAUGGUGGGGCCCCUCGACAUCAAUCCCGUCUACAAGCUUUUCAGGACGCCUUGUCUGACUGCUCCCUUGAAGACUUGGGUUAUGAGGGAGACAUAUUCACGUGGUUCCGUGGAGGGUUGCGGGAAAGACUCGAUCGGGCAGUGACGAAUGCUGGAUGGAUGCAGCUCCAUCCUUUGGCUGGUCUUUGCAACCUGGAAUUAGGAAAAUCAGAUCACCGACCGAUCUGCCUGGAUACAUAUCACCUGGCUGGAAUUGCAGAACAACGACCUUCCUAUGGGAGGAAAUUUGAGGCGAGGUGGCUGGCAGAGGAGACUGUUGAGGAAGUAGUGAAAACAGCA
rnacentral:rRNA from 1 species